ensembl:lncRNA
GUAUAAAGGAGAUAGAGAAAGCUUCUGACAUAGACAUUAGAAGGGGGUAGAAAGACUACCCGCUUGCUAGUGUUAACAAUGAAGUUAUAUACUCUCCAGCGAAUCCAAAGAAUGUCUGGAGGUUGUAAAGACCUCAUCAGACCUACUCCCAUAAUUUACAUUUUAAGAUAACAGAAUUAGCCAGAAGGUUUAAUCCAAAGACUGUCCUUAAUCCAGAGACUGUCCUCAGGCAGGAUACAUUAUUGUUAUAUAAUCCUAAGGAAUGUGGAGAAAGAAAAAAAGUUUGUCCUUUCUUCCUCCUUGAGAAUUCCAGACCCCUCUCUCCUUGGGGACCCCUAGAUUUCCUAUCAACCUGCCUAGGAAAUGACUCUCUCAGUCCCAGAGGACCAUGGGAGAUCCAGAGGGAUGAGCACAUUGUCUUGUAUGGCAGGGGCUGGGGAUGUCAGUGUAGCUGCUAGACAAGCGGGAGUACCUAGAUGCAGAGGCCAGUGAUGCCAAAGUCGUACUGCUUAAUGACCUCUCUGUGCCUGAGACGUCUUCUCUGGUACACUGCUUCUGUGGGGAUGGAUGCGGCGCUACCAGUUUCAGGCCGGUCACCAUGAGCCUGAAUUUGCUCAACGGGUUGUUAGACCACAACUCUCUGGGAUGGAAUGGGAUUGCGAAGGUGGGGUCCAUUUGGGCCUCCUCAUAAUGGGCGAUUGUUAUUGGGUUUCUUGUCUCCCCACAAAGUUAUCGGGGCCUGGUUAGUCCCAUGCUGACAUCCCGCGUGUGCCCAGCAGAGUAGCAGGUCCUGCCAUGAGAGGUAAGUGACAAGACACAGAAUUUGUGAGGGGAUCAGGAGGUGAGGCCUGAAGGCAGAAACAUGGAGAGGCCAGGAACCUUUGCUUUCCCUGGUGGGGAAGCUCAGGCUCAUUCAGCGUGGAGGCAUAGCCUGGAUGCAGGUCAUGUGAGUAGCAGGUGACAGGCUGAGACUGGAGGCUUAGGGACUUCAUGUGUCCUAGUCUUAUUCAGAGCAGCUCUGCUUACAGCAUGCGAGACCCAGGUGAUUCUCACGGAGGCAGGCUGAAUUAAGCACCUUUGUCGGCAUCAUCCUUCCCUGGGUCCUGCUGCUCAUGGAGACCCUGGGGCUUCUUCAGUGCAAGACCAAGAAUUCAGGGUGCUGGGGCCCUGAGAUGUGCUGGCGCACUGGGGCCGUCAGGGAUGUCGCAGGCAGCAGGUGGACCACCAGGCGAGGAGGCUGCCUUCUUCAGCGAGCAGGCAGUGGAGGAAGCAGCGGCCCUGGAGGACGGAGAGGUGUUGCGGUCCAGAAAGUAUUCCAGCUGCUGGUGGAAGACAUCAUUGAGGAGGUUGAAGUGGUGGUGGAGGAGGAGCAAGGGAAGCUGCCCUUGCAGGACCAGGAGCAGCUGGAGGAGCAGGGCCAGGAAAAUCCAAGGACAGGAGCCUUGAGCGACCAGCCCCCACUGGAGGCGCUAGAGGCAUUGGCUGCCCUGCAGGUGCACCUGAGCUCCCCGAAUGAGAAAGACCCCACAGCCUAUCUUUGGCUCCAGAGGAAUGAUCAUCAGAGGAGAAAGUGUCCCUUGAGUCAGAGAAGUACCAUCAGCCAGGGCAUCCCUGGCUUGUGGCCCAAAGCCGUAUCCUUAGUGUUGCUUCUCAGGGGUCAGAUGCUCAGGAGGACAAGAAGGAACAGGAGCAGGAGGAGGGGUGGGUGUGAGGG